AAAGGCUUCGUGACCAUUCUCUCUCUCCCAAUUCCAAAACACUUAUCCCAAAUUCCAUCCCCAUCGCCGACUUCCCCCAAAUCCAUCCCCGUCACCGCUAACCGAACCCUCCCCCAACUCCGGAGUCCCCGUCACCGCCGACCAACCUCCUCCAUCAACGCAGUAAAGCCCUCGACUCCUCCCCCAACUCCGGCUCCCCGUCACCGCCGACCGACCUCCUUCAUCAUAACAGUCAAGCCACCGACUCCUCCCCCAACUCCGGCUCCAAGUCACCGCCGACCGACCUCCUCCAUCAAGCCAUCAAGCCACCGACCUCUCCCCCAACUCCGGCUCCAAGUCACCGCCGGUCAUUAAAGAUUUUGGCAGCGUUAUAAAUUGUUCGCCAAGGUGCAGAUGUGAUGCCCAGGAGCCAGCUUAAUGACGUUUUGGAUGCUGAACUAGGUCCUGAUUGGUCGUCUAAGUUAAGGAGUUUUGAUUAUGAGCCUCUCGCUGCAGCAAUUAUUGAACAGAGAAAAAGAUUGAUGAUCUACAUAAUCGUUCUGGACCUUGCAGAGUAAAAGGCAAAAGUGUGGUUCGUUUUUGGGCUGGUGCAAGAUUUCCUCAAUUGAACAAAUACCACUCUUUAUUGCCCCACCAGAGGCACAUGACUUGGUUGUUGUACGUGAAAAAGUGUUGUAGAAAUGGCUAACUAUUAUAGCUUUUUUGUUGUCUUUUUGUUUAGCCAUGAAAGAAAUUAUAUGAUAUGAUGUAACUUGAUGUGCUGGAAUGAAACAAGACUUUGUAAGUGAGGAAAAUACUUUGAUGGCCUAUGGACAUGUAAAGGCAUUGUAUUUUGUGAAGGCAUUGUAAGUGAGGAAAAUACUUUGAUGGCCUAUGUACUUUGAUGUGCUGGAAUGAAACAAGAAAUUAUGUUAUGUA